AGUGAACGUGCACCAAUAAAGAAAACAUUGAAACAUUUAUUAAUAUUAACGCGAAUUUCAACAUUUAGCCUACUAAGUCAUUUGUAUAUCAUAAUGUGUUCUACACGAUUAAUCAGUGAUUAAGCGAUAAACUCUUUUAAUUUGAGGGAAAUCUAAGUAUUUUUGGUUAGUAAGAGCCCUUAUAUAAACGUGAACUAAUAAAGAAAUUACCUAAGCAUUUAUUAAUCUAAAGCUAAUUUCAACAUUUAGCCUACUAUGUUAUUAAAAUGAAAAAAAUGUAAAUGCUAAAAUUAUCUGACUUAAGCUAACAUACACAACUCUCAAUGGAGUUGUAUUAUUAUUAGUAGUAGUAAAAUGUAUUUUUAUAGACUUAUAUUAAUGCAAUAAGUGUUCUAUAAGAAGUUUUAAGAAUAAAUUACUAAGUCUGUUUGUUGUUUGUAGAUGUCACUCGGCUUUAUCCAACAUUCGAAACAUUUUAGGACAUUCAAACAUUUUAACCAAUGUUUAGCGUCCGAAUACAUUCGCAUAACCACAGUCUAAUACCUCGUCAAGCUUUGACAAUGAUAAGAUUAUUUGGAUUACGUUUGUUUCGUAUUCCCAAAUACACGGCUCAGAAAUAGUUUAACCUGAAACUAGAGGCCUAUUUGUUCACCUCAUCUGCACUUUGUUAUUGGCCGCUCCGAGUUUUUUGCAUACAGCCGUAGAGAGAGAAUGAGUGUUGGACGAAGACAGCGUUCUCCAGAUAAGCAGGAGUGAAAUAGGAUGAUGCACUGUCAUGGCUAUCCUGUUUCUGUCUCUUCUGUCUCUUUGCUCUUGUCACGAUGAACUUUUCACUUCAGCACCUGAAAAUGCUUCUGAAAUGAAUAUGCAUUGCCGCGCUUUGGCACUGUGGUGUACAGUGUAGCAUAUUUGUCAUUUUGGGUUUUGAGAAAUAUCACUCGGUUUGUGUUUAAAGAAUACGUUCAUAUUUCAACUAGUAUGUUUGCGUUCGUUUGCAGAGACACACCUUCUACAUCCAGCAGGCACCAGCUAAGAUGUUUACAUGCUUUAGAAGUCCGCAGUGAGCGAGACGGUGGACCAGGGGGUCUUGAGCGUGCCGUGACAGUAAAUGAAACCAUCUGUCUGUCAUAACAAGUCUACGAUGUAGGUCGUCUCUUAACUGGCUGGUCGCUUAAGGCCAGAGAUGUUGGACAGAAUGGAUGCAGAAGUGUGUGGCCACGAUUCUCGCCCAAACCAGGGCAUCCGAACCAGAUGAAGCAGAACUUAGCCAAGACUCUCCAGGAGCUGAUACCGGCUGUGUCCUCAAAAUACAUGAGGUGGGCCUUAGUUGCCAACACCCCACCACCAGAAGGACUCCACGCUCUGUCCUGGUCCACCUGCUUCUCUCUCAGUGCAGCCAGAUUGGCUCUAGGGAGGAUCCCUCACCUGUAAUGCUCUGAUAACUGCUCUGAAGAAGAAAGAAACACAAUGAGGCUUGUUCACUUGUUCAAAACAUCUGGCCAAAUGAAGGGUUGGGGGCACAGGGGCCUAAAUAACAGAAGGUUCUACAUAUAAAUGAAUGGAACCAGUUCACACAAUUUUUAAAGACUAGGAAAAUACAACAGUAGAAUAUGUUAAUUACGUGGUAAGAAAAACUCUAAUGUAAUGGAGCAUUUCAUAUAAUAUUACAGUAAAAAAAAAUUUAAACGUACAGAAAUCUUAUUACUUACCAAACUUGACACCUCACAUUUUAGUUUUGCAUUCAUUUAACUGUUUCUUCUUGGUUUUUCAGUUAUGUACAUUGGGUUUAAGAUGACAUCUUAUGUCGUUAAACUAAGGUAUAUUGCAUUUUUUUAGGGUCAUGUGUUUUUGUGGAAAAUCUGCUGAGCUUAGAUUGUACAUGUGGCUUUCUAAUUACCCCCCACCUUGUGUGUGUGUGUGUGUGUGUGUGUGUGGUUGUCAGUGUAUAAAAGAGGUACUUCAUUUUAGCACUUCAUUUUUGGAGGAAAAUGUUAAGUUUAAUCCAUAAAACCUAAAUGUCGCUACAAUACUUUUUAUGGUAACUUUCUGGCCAACACAGCUACUGUAGUUUUACUGUAAAUUUUAAGACUGUUAAAUUCUUUCAAAAUUGUACAUGAAAUAUUAUACCAGUCCAAAUAUUCCAGAUUUGAUUGAGAUCAUUUGUUAUAUAGUUUUUGGGUUUGAGGGCUUUGUAUCUCCCUGCUAUAUUUCAAAUAUUUCAUUUUAAAGCAAAUGACUUUUUUGACCUUUAAGCGUUGCUGUCGAACUUCACUGAACUUUACUGGCGUCCACUUUAACUUCUCUCUCUUUUUUCAGUUGAGAGUCUUAGAAGACAGCUUACAGCAGACAGCUUAAUUUGUUUCCGUAAAGCCUCGGCAAAUCUAGGCAAAUUAAUUUUUCAUCUACAGUAAUGGCUUGAGUGCUGAAUACUGUUUUAUGUUAAUGUAUUUAAAACGCCAACUAUCAGGAAAAGCUGACAAGAAAUUGGUUUGACUCGAUAACAGAUGCUUGUGGCGUGUGAGCAUUAAUUAAAUCAAGGAGAAUUGAAAAAGAAAAAACUAUAUUUACCGUUGUAAACCACAUUUUAUAUAUUAUUUUUAAAGUCACACAAACGAUUCCUCUGAAGUCAGUGCCAGCUCUAGUUUCGACUGAGCUGUGAGGUGUACAGUACAUCGAUGUGAAUUUAAAUAACUCCAUCUCGGCGAGAGGAUAUGGAGAUAGCAUCAAAUUAAAGGAACAGAAACUUACUUUGUGCAAGAGGAAGUUUCAACAUUCAUCUCAUUUGGCACAUAGUUGCUAUGGGGAAAAACAGCAGUGCAAUAAUUAACAGUUUGGUGUAUAAUAAAAGAAAAGGAUUUUGACCCUCAGAAUUCGUUAGGACUAUUAGGCUUGUUUUAUAGUCUAAAUCGAUUAGUAAGUCGUAUGUAGACGCUAUAAAAGGGAACAGGAACUAUUGUGUCUUUUAGUAAAAAUGAAACCAAAUCUUUGAGAGGGGAGUGAUUCCUCAGAGAAAGCUGCGCCGCUUAUGUCUAUAUAUCAGCAGUAAUGGGAAGACACACCUAAUGCUACAGACAUUACAUCAGAACGACCAGCUCUCACAGAAACCACAGACACACACAGAGAAACUCUUACUGUAGUUAUUCUGUGUGAGCCUGGUUUUCAGUAAAUGAAUCAGUGAAAGAUUUUAAAUUAACUAAAAGCACAUGCAAUCCAAUUAAUUCUAUGGAAGACCUAAAAUGUAAUUAUUGCCGUUCCAAAUCAGUAUGAUUUUCUUUCUUUCUUUCUUUGGGAAACAUGGAUUAAAUAUACCAUAAAUCUAAUAUGGUGUUCCGCGAGCAGCAUUUGCGAUGAAUGCGCACCAGUAAGUAAAUUUCCAAAGCGUCUUAAAACAUCUCCCAGAAAGGCAUUCUGUGUAGUGAACAUUUCAGAAAUGCUGCAGGCACAGCCAUCCCUGCUUCUAUUCAAGUCCAGGAGCCCGGGGCGGUUCUGCUGUGGGCAUCUCCAGAUCACUGGCCCUUUAUGCUAAUAAACAUCAAUCAGACAGUCUCCUAUGAUUCACACUGCAGUUCACCGAAUCAAGUCAAGUUCAAACCGCUAAAGGGUUCAAUUGAGGAUUGGAAAACUCUAACAAAGCUCUGUGAGAAGAAAAACAAAUCACAUUUUGACGUCCUGUUCCACGCGCCAAAGUUUCACUCUGGUUUUUCUAUCGACGUCGGGGUUGUUAAUUUUACCUCAGGCAGGGGUGCUAUGUCCCAAAUAUUCCAAACGCCCACUUUGUCUGACUUCUGCCCAGUCCGCUCUUUGAAAUCCAGUGUGGUUUCAGAUGCUACCGUCUACUGAAUAUGUACAGUACAAACAAGGGUGAGGAAUUUAGUAGGGACAAUAGAUAUAUGUCCCUAUCGACAUCCAGUUUAAAAUCCAAUUUCAAAACUGAAUCAUUUGCAAUGCUCACCCUGAAAGGAAUAGUUUACUCAAAAAUUUUAAUUCUGUCAAUCGUUUAGUCGUCCUCGAGUAGUUUCAAAUCUGUAUCAAUUUCUUUGUUCUGCCGAAAACAGAA